AUGAACGCUGGCGGCGUGCCUAAUACAUGCAAGUCGCGCGAACAGACGAGGAGCUUGCUCCUCUGACGUUAGCGGCGGACGGGUGAGUAACACGUGGAUAACCUACCUAUAAGACUGGGAUAACUUCGGGAAACCGGAGCUAAUACCGGAUAAUAUAUUGAACCGCAUGGUUCAAUAGUGAAAGACGGUUUUGCUGUCACUUAUAGAUGGAUCCGCGCCGCAUUAGCUAGUUGGUAAGGUAACGGCUUGCCAAGGCAACGAUGCGUAGCCGACCUGAGAGGGUGAUCGGCCACACUGGAACUGAGACACGGUCCAGACUCCUACGGGAGGCAGCAGUAGGGAAUCUUCCGCAAUGGGCGAAAGCCUGACGGAGCAACGCCGCGUGAGUGAUGAAGGUCUUCGGAUCGUAAAACUCUGUUAUUAGGGAAGAACAAAUGUGUAAGUAACUAUGCACGUCUUGACGGUACCUAAUCAGAAAGCCACGGCUAACUACGUG
rnacentral:rRNA from 1 species